rnacentral:rRNA from 1 species
UACGGAGGGUGCAAGCGUUAAUCGGAAUCACUGGGCGUAAAGCGCUCGUAGGCUGUUUGGUCAGUCAGAUGUGAAAGCCCUCGGCUUAACCGGGGAACUGCAUUUGAUACUGCCAGACUUGAGUGUCGGAGAGGGUGGCGGAAUUCCAGGUGUAGGAGUGAAAUCCGUAGAUAUCUGGAGGAACACCAGUGGCGAAGGCGGCCACCUGGACGACAACUGACGCUGAGGAGCGAAAGCGUGGGGAGCAAACAGG